rnacentral:rRNA from 1 species
UCGUGGUGUGAACUGUCUGCUUAAUUGCGACAACGAACGAGAUCUCCGCCUCUAAAUAAGUGCUGGUCUCGCACAUAGGUAGGAAGACCCGGGGUACGCAAGUAUCCUGACUUCCGAGAGCGCCAGCUCGCUUCUUAGAGGGACUGUGCACAUAUUCAGUGCGCGGAAGAAGGAGCCGAUAGCA